rnacentral:rRNA from 1 species
AUUGAACGCUAGCGGGAUGCUUUACACAUGCAAGUCGAACGGCAGCGCGGACUUCGGUCUGGCGGCGAGUGGCGAACGGGUGAGUAAUGUAUCGGAACGUGCCCAGUAGCGGGGGAUAAAUCCGCGAAAGCGUAGCUAAUACCGCAUACGCCCUAUGGGGGAAAGCAGGGGAUCGUAAGACCUUGCACUAUUGGAGCGGCCGAUAUCGGAUUAGCUAGUUGGUGAGGUAACGGCUCACCAAGGCGACGAUCCGUAGCUGGUUUGAGAGGACGACCAGCCACACUGGGACUGAGACACGGCCCAGACUCCUACGGGAGGCAGCAGUGGGGAAUUUUGGACAAUGGGGGCAACCCUGAUCCAGCCAUCCCGCGUGUGCGAUGAAGGCCUUCGGGUUGUAAAGCACUUUUGGCAGGAAAGAAACGUCGCGGGCUAAUACCCCGUGGAACUGACGGUACCUGCAGAAUAAGCACCGGCUAACUACGUG